rnacentral:rRNA from 1 species
CCCGCACAAGCGGUGGAGUAUGUGGUUUAAUUCGAUGCAACGCGAAGAACCUUACCUGGUCUUGACAUCCCGGAGACCCUUAGGAACUAGGGGUGCUUCCAUCUGGAAGAAUCUGGAGACAGGUGCUGCAUGGCUGUCGUCAGCUCGUGUCGUGAGAUGUUGGGUUAAGUCCCGCAACGAGCGCAACCCUUGCCUUUAGUUGCCAGCAGUUCGGCUGGGCACUCUAAAGGGACUGCCGGUGUUAAACCGGAGGAAGAUGGGGAUGACGUCAAGUCCUCAUGGCCUUUAUGACCAGGGCUACACACGUACUACAAUGGCCGAUACAAAGGGCAGCGACACUGCGAGGUGAAGCCAAUCCCGUAAAAUCGGUCUCAGUCCGGAUUGGAGUCUGCAACUCGACUGCGUGAAGUCGGAAUCGCUAGUAAUCGUGAAUCAGAAUGUCACGGUGAAUACGCUCCCGGGCCUU